rnacentral:misc_RNA from 1 species
GAUGAAGAACGUAGCGAAAUGCGAUAAGUAAUGUGAAUUGCAGAAUUCAGUGAAUCAUCGAAUCUUUGAACGCACAUUGCGCCCGCCAGUAUUCUGGCGGGCAUGCCUGUUCGAGCGUCAUUUCAACCAUCAAGCCCCCGGCUUGUGUUGGGGACCUGCGGCUGCCGCAGGCCCUGAAAAGCAGUGGCGGGCUCGCUGUCACACCGAGCGUAGUAGAUUUCAUCUCGCUCAGGGCGUGCUGCGGGUUCCGGCCGUUAAACCACCUUCAUAACCAAAGGUUGACCUCGGAUCAGGUAGGAAGACCCGCUGAACUUAAGCAUAUCAAUAAGCGGAGGA